rnacentral:misc_RNA from 1 species
GUUUGUAAAUAAUUUGCAAGUGGAUUUCAAUUACUUAUGAAUCAAACCAAUCACCUCUCAAUAAAAAUUUUCCUCUUCCUUUAUACUUCUGCUCUAGCUCUCUGCUUGUGUCUCUCUGUGUAGCAAUGGACUCCUAUAUUCCUCUUCUGGAGAAAACCCGGGUCCCGCAACCCUCCCUCCAGAAAUUUGCGGUGGUUUCAAUAUUUACGAAGCUCCGCUCCGCCCCGGCUUAUCUCAACCCGGAAUCCGAUCCCGGAAGAGACGCCAUCUCUCAGUGCCUCCAUUCCUCAUCUCCAGCCGUCGUCGACCAAACGGUUCGGGAGCUCUGCCGCCUCGUCUCGGACUCUAAAUUGGAAGUCUCUCGCGGUUUGUUGGAGCUUCAGUCCGCACUCGAAGGCGCAGACUCGAAAUUUGUUGGUUUAUUUGUUAAAGGACUGGGAUUUCUCAUUCGGAUCGGGUUUCAGAGGAACCAUGGAUCGUGGCGGGUUGGUUCCCCUGUCAAUCACCCGUUUGUUAAGAUUUUAUCUUGCAGAACUGAGGUUCAGUCUGAAUUGGUACAGCAAGUUUUACUGUUUGUGGCACAGAAUAGGCAGCUGGAAAUGGCCCAAGUUUGUGAAUUCUUGAGACCUUUUCUGAAUUUUUCAAUUCUACGCAUACCCAUCUCAAGUUCUUCGUCGUCUUUGUUUGCAAGGCAUUUAAUAUCAUCAAUGGCUUCAUUUUGUUGUUCUUUCCCUAAUGAAGCAAUUCCAAUUUUAAAGCUGCUGAUGGGUUGCCUCAAGUAUUUGCCACACAGGAACUCAGAUGAACUUAGGGACUCUUAUUGUUUUUUGGAAUGCAUAGUGGAUGCGUAUUCUGUGGUUUUGCGACACUUGGUCCGGAUUGGAUUGCUGGUUGCUGAGGCUCAAUUGUUCAGUGUGGAAUUGUCAGAGACUAUACUUUCACUACUAACAUGUCUGCCCGGGCAUUCUGCUGGGGCUGAGCCAAUUGUUGAUCUAGUAAAGGGAUUGUUUGUCAUUCAGAAAGAUCUUACCUUGUGUUAUAUACGUGAAUUAUCAUCAACAGUGCUAUGCUUAUUUAUUAUCCUUAUUCAAUCUGAUCUUGAACACGAACAACUGUCUUUAUUGAGAUUCAUCAUCUUCCUUUUAAAGUGGAAAAGUGAAAAUGAAUUUGUUGAUAGAAUCAAAUGUGAUUUGAGUGAAGAGCUCUUAUUCGCCUUUCCUGUCAUCAGCCUUAUGUCAUCAACUUCUAGAUAUGUAAAAGGAGCAGCAGCUGAUUUACUUCUUGUGUUGGAAAAGCUUCUUGUACAGCUGCUCAGAGAACCAAGGAUUGAACUAGUCGCAGAAGGGAGAUUUCCAUCUAUCAGCUCACCUGGGUCUAUUGUUUAUAGACUUUUGCAGCAUCUGUGGUUUCAGGACCAAUAUUCACUGUCAGCUUCCUUCUUUGUAAAUUUUGCUUCUAGUGAUAAAACUGAUGCCAAAGGAAUGUAUAAUCAAGCUAGAUCUUGGGCUUCUCAAUUAAGAGAAUACUCUUUGCGGAUCAUUGACAGACGAAAAUCUUCCCCAUCCUUAUCUCAGUCUGAAGAAACUUUUUUAAAGGAAAUGCCCCCAUUGCUCAGUGCAAUUACUGGUGUUUUGGUGAUGCAUCAAUCAUUGGGAAACAUUGCGAUAGAUUUGUUGGCUACUAUUGGUGCUAUGGAUCCUAAGCUGGGUGUUCCAUUGUUGCUAGCCAUUCUAUUUUACUGUAACAUUUUCACAAGAAAUGAUAUUAAUUACCAGGAUAUGUUGCCAAAACUUUUGGCAUUGCUUCCAUCACUGGCUUCACAUUUUUUGAUGAUACCACUUAUAAUUCAGACUAUCCUGCCAAUGCUUCAGAAGGAUGGACCAUCAGUGUUGUAUGCUACAGGUGCUCGUUUGCUUUGGCAGACCUGGGCAAUUAAUGACCGUGCCUUUGGCAGUCUGCAGACAGUUUUACUCCCAAAAGGGUUCACUGAGUUCAAGUCAGAUAGAAAUAUCUGUGUAAGUCUGGCUACUUCAAUUCGAGAUGUUUGCAAGAAAAAUCCUGAUAGGGGUGUGGAUAUUAUCUUGUCUGUCUCGGCUUGCAUUGAGAGCAAAGAUCCUAUUAUUCAAGCACUUGGUUUACAAAGCCUGGCUCAUCUAUGUGAAGCUGAUGUAAUUGAUUUUUAUACUGCCUGGGAUGUCAUUGCAAAGCAUGUGCUAGAAUACUCCUCAGACCCAGUUCUUGCACAAAGCACAUGCCUUCUUCUUAGAUGGGGUGCUUUGGAUGCUGAAGCAUACCCAGAAGCUUCAAAGAAUGUUUUGCGAAUAUUGUGGCAUGUUGGUGCCUCCAAGCAUGUUAGUCAUGUGGUGCAAUGGGCAAAGACAAGAGCUGCUGCAUUCCAGGCCUUAUCCCAAUAUGAGGUCUCACAUAUAGAAAAAGGAAUUUCGGAUUUCAAGAGAGAGAACAUGGAGUUGCUUUUGUCUGAGUCAGAUAUCGACGUUCUCAAGGCCAUGGAAGGAUUUCAAGUCAAGAUCAUAACUCAUGAACACAUGAAUAGGCGAAGAUUGGUGAAGGAGAGAAAAGUCACGGGAAGCAAGAUUGAGAAAUUGCUGGAUGUACUUCCUCAGGUUCUCUUCCCUUCAGACAAAAAAAGUAAUGCUGGGAAGCUACCUGGUGCAGCUCUAUUAUGCAUUUCAUUUACCCCUAAAGAUGCGAACAGUCUAGGGAUUUCGAGAGCACUAGAUGUCCAUGUUGCAUAUGAGAAUGCAUUGGUGGAAAUAGCUUCUUCUUUUCAGCUCUCAAGAAACAUUUUUGUGGCCCUUCUUUCACUGCAAUCAUGGAAAACCUUCAUGCGCCGCUGGAUGAGGGCUAGUCUAUUAUCGCUUGAUGCAAAAGCUCCAUCUGUUGUAUUAGAUAAAACUUCUAAAGCUGCUAACAAUAUCCUCAGGGUUCUCUGUUCACUUGUGUUUUUCAUUACUUCUAUAGUACUGCCAGUCUAUUGUGGCUAUCUAGUACAAUUUUUUUUACAGAUUUUGUCAUGCAGAUUAUGAUGCGACUUGCUGAAGAAUCUAUCCCGAGAUCUGCUGAAAAUAUUGCCCUGGCUGUUGGUGCACUCUGUGUGGUCUUGCCUCCAUCUGCCCAUACUAUUAAAUCAACUGCUUCAAAGUUUCUAUUAAAUUGGUUGUUCCAGUAUGAACACGAGCAUCGUCAAUGGUCAUCUGCAAUAUCUCUUGGAUUGAUUUCAAGUUGCCUACAUGUAACUGAUCAUAAGCAGAAAUUUCAAAAUAUCACUGGACUCAUAGAGGUUUUGUGUGGCAGCAAAAGCACCCUUGUUAAAGGAGCAUGUGGGGUUGGCUUGGGUUUUUCAUGCCAAGAUCUUCUUGCCAGAGUUGAAACUGCUGACAGCAAUGACUUGGACAGAGAAAACUACAAGAUACAGGAGUUUGCUUUGCUAGGGAAGGUAGUUAGGACAUUACUUCUGAUGACAAGUCAGCUCAGUCAAACUUCAUAUGAUAUUCUAGAAGGUCUGUCUGCAUACUUCCCGUCCGGCAUUGGUGAUUUGGAACCCAAUAUGACUUCUGAGCUGUUUCUUGAGAAGCGUGAUGACUUGGAGGAAGAUAUUUGGGGUGUUGCUGGCCUUGUCCUUGGCUUGGGUAGCUCUGUUGGUGCAAUAUACAGAGCUGGGGCACAUGAUGUCGUGCUUAAGAUAAAAGACUUGAUUCUAUCAUGGACCCCUCAUUUGGACACUCUAGUAAUUAACUCUGGGCUUUCUGGUGAAGGAGCAGACAAAGUUUUAUCUGUAGGAUCCUGUCUAGCAAUUCCUGUUGUUGUGGCUCUCUGCCGGAGAGUGGAAUUGAUGAAUGAGAAUGAACUAGAUCAUCUAGUGAAUGGUUAUACUGAGCUUAUAUCUGAGUUACUGUCUGUGAAAAAGUCUGGUACCAUCCAUCAGAGCUUGUUGAUGGCAUCAUGCGUCGGAGCAGGAAGCCUGCUUGCCUGCAUUUUGAAUGAAGCUGUGCACCCUAUUAAAGUUGAACACAUCAAAGGCUUACUGGAAUUUUUUAGAAAAUGCUACUCUAAUCCUUACCAUGCUCUUGUUCAUAUGGGUGGGAUGCUUGGAGUAGUUAACGCUAUGGGAGCCAAUGCGGGGUUUUUAUUUCCUGGUUACCAUUCCUCUUCUUCAGUGAGGACUGGUUAUCAACAAAAGGAAUCUUCUUAUGUCUUGGGUCCUCUACUUUCAAGCCCUAUUUGUGAAUCACAUUUGACAGCAUUAAUUCAAGAAAUAUUCCUUGUUGCUCAAAAUUCUGAUGAUCUCCAAAUGAAACAAAUUGCAGCUUGGGCAGUUUCUUUCCUCAGAAAUCUUUUAUGGUCCAAGGAACUGCUAGAUGUUGACAAUAGUGUUCAGACUGAUGUUGCCAAUUCCAAAACGGUUUCUCGCAGUUUUUCUGAGGACUCAUUAGUUAUGAAACUAUCUUUGUGGCUAAUGCAUCUGAAUUAUUCUGCGGUAGGUAUCAUUCCACAUGUUGGCACAGUAUCAACUGUUUUAAGAUGUCUUUCAGGAGCUCCCAGAUUGCCAACCAUGGAUUGGGGAUCAAUCAUUAGACGUUGCAUGAGAUAUGAAGCUCAGGUUUCUGAGUUGUUACCACCAGAUUCAGCUCUUGAGAAGGGAAGCCUUAGGAAGGAUGCUCUUCAAUUCUCAAUUGCUCAUGCAAACCAAUUUGAUCCGCUCCUGACUUUCCUUGAUGAACUAUCUGACCUGUCCAGAUUCAGGACUCUUGAGCUGAAUCUACAGUCAUGUCUACUUGUACAUCUAGCUGACCUGACAAAAAUAUUCUCAGAUUCCCGGCUAGAGAAAUUAUUUGAUGAUAUUGCUGAGUUCUUUUCUUCAGAUUAUUCGCCCAAAAUGUAUAACUCUGAUCAGAAAAGGUCAUUGAGGAUAUCAUUCUGGAGGGGCCUCUGCCAGUGCCUAGAUGAAGAUUCGCUCCGCACUCCUGAAUACAUGCCAAAUGUUGAGAAGUGCAUGGAAGUGCUAUUUUCCUUGUUGCCUGCAUCAGAAGCACAUAUGCUAAACCCUGCACAAGAGUGGUAUGAGGUAGUUAAAUGUUUAGCAAAAGCUCGAGGGGAUUGGUUAUUAGAUUUCCUGCAGGUUCCACCGGUAAAUCUAGUACAAGGAGAUGAGCAAUUUAAUGAAGUCCUAAAGAAGAUUGUAGCAAAAGCCAAGCUAGUAAGGAUUGGCUCCAUCACAUUGACCGAGCUUGGAAGACUAAAAGCUUAUAUAUUGAACUCUAGAUCACAUGGUAUUUGGAAUGUGCUUGUUGAAGUUGUAGCAGCUUUGCAAUAUGCAGAGGGAAGUGUCAAAAGACACUGGCUUGUUGAUGCUGUGGAAAUUAGCUGUGUAUCCAGUUAUCCUUCGACGGCACUCCAAUUUCUUGGUCUGUUAUCUGGAAGCUGCUGCAAAUAUAUGCCUCUUCUGACUCUGGACCGAUUAACAGUAUUGAGCGAUCUACCAGUUACCCUUCAUUCUCUUUUGACAGAACCCAGUUGGGAAGUAGUUGCAGAAUCCAUUGUUUCUCAUCUUCUGGUAUCAACAGAACGCAUAUACCACUGGGUUACCGACAUGGUCCUCGAUGAUGGUGCUCCAAAUGUGCAACCUAUUGACGAAAGUGAAAAUGACAUGGUUGCUUUUCUAUUGCCUGUGAUGCAUCAGGUCUGUUUAUCUUUGAAAGAUUAUUUACCCCUGGAGAAGCAGCUUAGGCUUGCCAACAUUGUGGUCAAAUGAGGCUUGUUAAUAGGUCAUUUGCACAAGGGAAAAGCAGGAAACCUUCAAUGGCAGUUUUUUUUCCCUGCAAUUUGAGACCACUUUGAUUGUAAAUAUUCUUCUUCUUGUUCUUCUUCUUCCUCCGAUGAGGAGUAACUUUGUAUGAGUGACAAACUCAUCGUCACCGGCGGGCACGAUUCGAAAAAGAACUUCGAGUUUAUAGUCCCGCAGCAAGUCGUACUUAAAAU